rnacentral:rRNA from 1 species
CGUCCCGCCGGCGACCGGCGCACGGGUGAGUAACACGUAUGCAACCUGGCCGCCACAGGGGGAUAACCCGCGGAAACGCGGCCUAAUACCCCGUGACGCCACCGGAGGGCAUCCUCCGGUGGCCAAAGGAGCGAUCCGGUGGCGGAUGGGCAUGCGGCGCAUUAGCUAGACGGCGGGGUGACGGCCCACCGUGGCGACGAUGCGUAGGGGUUCUGAGAGGAAGGUCCCCCACAUUGGAACUGAGACACGGUCCAAACUCCUACGGAAGGCAGCAG